CUUCUGUUUGCUGGAUGUUCACCACAAUACUCUGUGCAACACCCCAAUUGUUGAAAGGGUAAUACAGAAAUAGCGGCAUUAGACAGCACUGCAUCUUCAGGACUUUCCAAGUUAGUCUAUGUCCUCAUAAGUAAGCAUCUCAGUUUCUUCAGCCAGCAUGGAUUUUGACCAAACAGAUUUAAUUGCAAAAAAAGGUAGGUCAGCCAGAGAGAUUGGUGUGUAGUCCCAAAUAUCAGGCGGCACAAAUACUCCAGUACGGUCUCUAUAAUCAUACAAACACAAGGAUCAGUACGACAUCAAUAAAUUAAUUAUCUAGGCUAAACUCAAAUUAGAAACUAAAGUUAAACUCUUAACUAGUGUAACAUGUACUUCUCUUAGUUUUGCUUAUAAUUCAUUGAAU
rnacentral:lncRNA from 1 species